AACGAACGCUGGCGGCAGGCUUAACACAUGCAAGUCGAGCGCCCCGCAAGGGGAGCGGCAGACGGGUGAGUAACGCGUGGGAAUCUACCCAUCUCUACGGAAUAACGCACGGAAACGGGUGCUAAUACCGUAUACGUCCUUCGGGAGAAAGAUUUAUCGGAGAUGGAUGAGCCCGCGUUGGAUUAGCUAGUUGGUGGGGUAAAGGCCUACCAAGGCGACGAUCCAUAGCUGGUCUGAGAGGAUGAUCAGCCACACUGGGACUGAGACACGGCCCAGACUCCUACGGGAGGCAGCAGUGGGGAAUAUUGGACAAUGGGCGCAAGCCUGAUCCAGCCAUGCCGCGUGAGUGAUGAAGGCCCUAGGGUUGUAAAGCUCUUUCACCGGUGAAGAUAAUGACGGUAACCGGAGAAGAAGCCCCGGCUAACUUCGUGCCAGCCGCCGCCGUAAUAC
rnacentral:rRNA from 1 species